CCUACGGGAGGCAGCAGUGGGGAAUAUUGCGCAAUGGGCGAAAGCCUGACGCAGCGACGCCGCGUGAGGGAUGAAGGUCUUCGGAUCGUAAACCUCUGUCAGCAGGGAAGAACGGUCACUGUGCUAAUCAGCAGUGAAUUGACGGUACCUGCAAAGGAAGCACCGGCUAACUCCGUGCCAGCAGCCGCGGUAAUACGGAGGGUGCGAGCGAUAACCGGAAUUACUGGGCGUAAAGCGCGCGUAGGCGGUAUGGCAAGUCAAGGGUGAAAUCCCCGGGCUCAACGUGGGAACUGCCUUUGAAACUGGCAAACUGGAGUGUGUGAGAGGAUAGUGGAAUUCUGGGUGUAGGGGUAAAAUCCGUAGAUAUCUGGAGGAAGA
rnacentral:rRNA from 1 species